GACUCCUGGGGCGAGGAGAGUAAUUUAAUUUGGAGGUAACAAGAUCAAAUGAUAAUUUUUUAUUUUGAGAUGAACAUGGAUAUCAGUAAUUUAGUCAUAUUAUAAGUGAAGUUGAAGAAUUAAUACUGGAGUGGAGUUCAUAUACUCGCCUGCAACGGAUUGUUCGCCGAGCACAGCACCGUUGGUUUACAGACGUAUUUGGAAGCAAGAAAGAAGCCACAGCCCUCCCUUCUGGUGCAAAGUCAAUGUGAAGAGAAAGGAAACAAAAGAGAUGAAUAAAGAAAUUGUAAACAAUUCAUGUACCAUGUUUGGUGAAGAAAGCAAAAGCAAUUACAAGAAAGCUUAAGAGUGUAAAGGGAAAAAAAUGGGCAAAAGAAAAUGACAGCGAAAGAAGAGGGAAGGACAAAGUGAAAGAGACAAGAGAUGGAAAAGGACUCCAGGUUCAAAUACUAGAGAUACCCUUUUACAGUGCCAUGAUACUGACAGUGAAAGCGUUAACGAAGUAGUCGAAGUUUCACAAGGAGGCGGUAAAUUAUUCCAGAUUAAUUUACAUCACCAUGGGGAUCUUGGUGAAUUGGCAUAUUAUGGUGGGGAAGUUCAAAGUAGGAUAUACCAUAUUGCUGAGAUUGAAAUGUCCGACCUUGACAAAUGGUGUAGGAGGCUAUACGGAAAAGGCAUUGUGGAUUACCAUUGGUGUACAAAGGGAGUCGAAUACCGGGAUGGGAUAAAGGCGAUAAACCAUAAACAAGAUUUCAGGGUUAUGGCUGUCACAGAAAUUUGGUGGCAGACCAAGGGGUGAGAGUCAGCCAGAAUUUUGCCCGGGGGGCGUUGAAAAAACUAUAAACACAGAAGUUGACGAGGAGGCGGACUCGGACUACAUUGCUUCUGAUGAUAACAACACGGCUUCCAAGUUUGACGAUGACAGUCGGGUGAAGUUCAGAAUGUUCAACGAGGAGAUGGAGAUGGCAAAUCCAACCUUCAAGACUGGAUUGCAAUUUGUCAAUAGAGAGCAGUUCAAGAAAGCAUGUAAGCAGUGGGGCAUCAAACAUAAAGUAUCAACUGCACUUUCCUGUGAACGAGAAGACCCGUGUUACGGCCAGGUGCUACGACAAGGGUGACAAGAUACCUAAGUGUCGGUUUGGAAUAUUUGUAUCCAAGCAAAAUAUGUCAGAUCCGGAUGAUCAAACAUUCCUAGUGAAGAGCAUGAACUUGGUACACACUUGCCCGAAGAAAAGAACAAAUUUCUACAUGACCAGUGUCUAUCUAGCUGAGAGUUUUUUAGAUGAGUUUAGGGCCAAUCCAAAUUACAACCCUG